rnacentral:rRNA from 1 species
UACGGGGGGAGCAAGCGUUGUUCGGAUUUACUGGGCGUAAAGGGCGCGUAGGCGGCCACUGCAAGUCGGUUGUGAAAUCUCCGGGCUUAACCCGGAAAGGUCAAUCGAUACUGCAGGCUAGAGUGCAGAAGGGCAACUGGAAUUCUCGGUGUAGCGGUGAAAUGCGUAGAUAUCAAGAGGAACACCUGAGGUGAAGACGGGUUGCUGGGCUGACACUGACGCUGAGGCGCGAAGCCAGGGAGCAAACGGG